GGAAGGGCAUUAGCUCAGUGCUAGAGUAUCUACUUUGCAUGCAGAAGGUCCCAGGUUCAGUUCCUGGUGUCUCUG